AUGCAAAAUACAGCAAAGUAUAGUUUGCGUGCAGGAAGUUACCGAUGUAGGCUGACUUCGGUAGGCCUUAUAGAUGCAAAAUUCAGUAAUGUAUCAUGCAUCUCAAUAUGCAUUCUUUACAUGGGAUUUACUAGAUUGUGCAGUAGAAGGAUUGGAUUAUUUCAUAGACUUGUUCGAGGACAUGAUUUAGGCUCUGUUUGUGUCACGCCCUCGCCUUUCACUACGGCGACGCCGGACAUCGAGUCGAAGAUCCACACGACACCGACAAGUGGAGCCCCGAAAGAAUCUGGGCCUAGCGGUCAGGAUGACAAUGAUGAGGAGGAAGCAGUAGUGUGA
rnacentral:rRNA from 1 species